AUCAUAAAGAAAUAACAUAGAAAUUUAAAAAUAUACUAAAAUAGAAAUUUUAAUAAAAUAUCAAAAUAGAAACUUUAAUUAAAUUUUAGUCAAAACCUAAUCAAAUUCUAAUCAAAUCUUAAAUAAACCCUAGUCAAAACCUAACAAAUCCUUAUCAAAUCCUAAUCAAAUCUUAAACAAAACUUAACCAAAUCUUAAAUAAAUCCUAGUCAAAUCCUAACCAGAUCCUAAUCAAAUCCUAAAAUAAUCUUAACUAAAUUUUAAAUAAAUCCUAGUCAAACCCUAAAAAAUCCUAACAAAAUUCUAAUCAAAUUCUAAACAAAUCCUAACCAAAUCCUAACCAAAUCCUAAAUAAAUCCUAGUCAAAUCUUAAAUAAAUCCUAACCAAAUCUUAACCAAAUCUUAAUCAAAUUCUAAAAAAAUCUAAACAAACCUUAACCAAAUCCUAAUCAAAUCCUA
rnacentral:lncRNA from 1 species